rnacentral:tRNA from 1 species
GCCGGGAUAGCUCAGGGGUAGAGCAGCUGAUUCGUAAUCAGCAGGCCGUCGGUUCAAAUCCGAUUCCCGGCUCCA